rnacentral:rRNA from 1 species
AACUAUGUGCCAGCAGCUGCGGUAAUACAUAGGUCGCAAGCGUUAUUCGGAUUUAUUGGGCGUAAAGCAAGCGCAGGCGGAUGGACAAGUUCUGUGUUAAAAGCAGCUGCUCAACAGUUGUUUGCGCCGAAUACUGUCCAUCUAGAAUAUGGUAGGAAGUUUCGGAAUUGAAUAUGGAGCGGUGGAAUGCGUAGAUAUAUUCAAGAACACCAGAGGCGAAGGCGGAAACUUAGGCCACUAUUGACGCUUAGGCUUGAAAGUGUGGGUAGCAAAUGGGAUUAGAUACCCCAGUAGUCCACACCGUAAACGAUGGAUAUUAAAUGUUGGGACUUGUGUCUCAGCGUUGUAGCUUACGUGUUAAAUAUCCCGCCUGGGUAGUACAUAUGCAAAUAUGAAACUCAAAGGAAUUGACGGGGACCUGAACAAGUGGUGGAACAUGUUGCUUAAUUCGAUAAUACACGAAAAACCUUACCAAGAUUUGACAUCCCCCGCGAAGCCUUAGAAAUAAGGUCAUAGGUUAUCGGGGUGACAGGUGGUGCAUGGUUGUCGUCAGCUCGUGUCAUGAGAUGUUUGGUUAAGUCCCGCAACGAGCGCAACCCUACUCUUUAGUUAAAUUGUUUAAAGAGACUGAACAGUAAUGUAUAGGAAGGUUGGGAUCACGUCAAAUCAUCAUGCCCCUUAUGUCUUGGGCCGCAAACGUGUUACAAUGGCGAGCACAGCGUGCAGCAAACUAGCGAUAGCAAGCAAAUCACUAAAAACUCGUCUCAGUCCGGAUAAAAGGCUGCAAUUCGCCUUUUUGAAGUUGGAAUCACUAGUAAUCCCGUGUCAGCUAUAUCGGGGUGAAUACGUUCCCAGGUCUUGUACAC